AUGGUGAUGUAUGGCGACUCGCUUGGGGGAGGGAGGUUGGAGCGCCGGCAUCAUCCAGGAGAGGCGAGUGGUAGAAUGAGGCGGGGCGCGAGCUCGGGAACGGCGGCGGCGGGCGAGCUCAAGAAUGGCUACGGUGGCGCACUAGCUCAGGAACGGCGGCGCGCGCGAGCACAGGUGCCGGCGACGCGUGGAGGUGUGUGGAUCCUGGUGGCGGCGUUGGUGAGAAGUUGGCGGUGCGAGGAGCGCCGACCAUGA
rnacentral:rRNA from 1 species